rnacentral:rRNA from 1 species
UACGUAGGGGUGCGAGCGUUUUUUUUUUUUUUUUUUUUAACGGAAUUUACUGGGCGUAAAGCGUGCGCAGGCGGCGCGUUUUUUUUUUUUUUUUUUAAGACAGGGCGUGAAAGCCCCCGAGCUUUUUUUUUUAACUUGGGGAAUUUUGCGCUUUGUGACUGGGCGUGCUUGGAGUGUGGCAGAGGGGAGGUGGAAUUUCCACGUGUAGCAGUUGAAAUGCGUAGAGAUGUGGAGGAACACCGAUGGGCGAAGGGCAGCCUCCUGGGGCCAGCACUGACGCUCAUGCACGAAAAGCGUGGGGGGGAGCAAAACAGGAUUAGAA